UGGAAAGCUAUUAAUCAUAGAAAAUCCAGACAAAUGCAAAGUUUGGGAAUCUAGUGAUUAGUGGUAAAUUGCCUUGUGUUUCCCCUUAGGUAGAAUGUGCUUGUCUGCAGGUGUGUGGAUGGUUGCUGAUGCCACAGUGUAGUGCACUAAGGCUGAACCCCUGGGAUAUUAGAAUGCAGCCUAGUGUGUGUGCCGGAAUGUUUGGAUAUGUGUCACAUAUGGUUUAUCUCUCUCAAAAGAUGGGCCUGUCGCAGCCACUUUCAUCCGCUGUUACCACGACGAUUAAUACAUUUUAAAAAAUGUCCCCUUCACUUUUCCCCCAUGUCGGUCUCACACUUACACCCACAGAGGCACACACACACUGAUCGCUAUUCAACGGGAGUUACUGCAACAUCAGCAGCACAAGCAUCUCUGCCUUCAGAGGCUGAUCAAUCUGAACCACCGCAGCAAUGAUGAAUCACACCAGUCAAGAAGGAAGAAAAGUGAAAAGGUAGUAGGAAGGAUGAGAGAAAACAAAGACGUAUAAUAAUAUGGACAGGUUUGUUAAAAAGAACAAAAAAACACCUAGGAAACCUAGUGUGGAAAAAUUGAGGAGAAAACCAUUCAACUAAGCCAAACACGCAAAUCUGAACUCCAUUAUGUUGAUCUUUCCUUUAGAUGCUUUCAGUCUAGGUUCAAGGACUGAAGGACAAAUGAUAUUCUGAAGCCAAGUACUUGAAAUUCAUCCCUAAAUGCUAUUUUCUGGUUGCAACAAGCAUUACAACAGAAACAUAUUUCGAGACAGGGGUCCAGUUCAGGUUUUCUGUGAUAUUUGUAUGGCUGAUUCACAAGAGCUGAAGAGCUGCUGUCUAAGUGGGCUGUGGAGACAACAAAAUUACACAUACACGCAUGGAGAGCUAUCCCUCAAUGCAUGCAGCUCACACAAACAUACACAUCGUGCACAGCCAUCUUCACCCUCAAUAACACCUUCCCCUUCUAUCAUUAUGCUGUGACUCACAGACGGGCUCCUGCUGUCCAGUGCAUCUGCAGGCAAAAAACACACAAAUCACGUAUACACCCCUCCAGCACUCUCCAUGGUCUAAACAUGCACGUUGUUCAUCUUAACCACCAUCAUUUCCCUGACCGCCGCUUGCGUCGUCCUGGAGGAUCCCUUCAACAGGCUGAUCAUAGUCAUGAUAGGCUCCAUGCAGGAUCUACGUGGAGCCUGAGGGCCCUGCAACAAACUGUUCUGCAGGAAACAAAACAAUGUUCAUUUACAUAAUUAAAUCUAUUUAUGAGAAAAAACAUGAAAGACAAACACCACUUUGAUAGUUUUAAGGAAAUAUGAGAAGAUGAAUGGUUGUCUUAACCCAUACUCUCCACUUUGUGUAGCAUCUUGCCUACUAGUGAUUAAGCCAAGCUGAAGAUAGAUUUAAUUUAAAGUAUACCUCUGAGUUGCAUUUUUAAUCUGACUGCAGGGCGGGCCAAAGGUAUAUGAGUACGUGGGAGCCCAUUUAAAUUAUUUCAGUCAGUAGAAGCCCAGCAGUGACUUUGUUGUUUUUUUAAACCUUUUUCAAUAUUGUCAAAAUAAACUAUAACUAUAUCAGACAUCGAGGGCUUAUUUUAGCCAAUAAUCACCAGUUUAUGGAGCAACACUUCCUCGUGUAAUUUUGACUACCUAAUUAUUAUAAGCAUUUACUGUAGAACUUUAAGUUUAAGUAGAACUGUAUUCUUAAUCAACCUGCAGAACUGGAUCAGUGUUGAAUGAGGUCCUAAGCAGAAUUUGAUUUGGGAGCCCACUUCCAGCUCAGUCUGCCACAAUUAUUACAGGCUUGGGAGGAGGUAAAGUUUAUUAUUUUGUUCAUAAAAGCUCAGUGAACUAGCUUCAUUCAGUUAAA